rnacentral:misc_RNA from 1 species
GAUGAAGAACGUAGCGAAAUGCGAUAAGUAAUGUGAAUUGCAGAAUUCAGUGAAUCAUCGAAUCUUUGAACGCACAUUGCGCCCCCUGGUAUUCCGGGGGGCAUGCCUGUUCGAGCGUCAUUUCACCACUCAAGCCUCGCUUGGUAUUGGGCAACGCGGUCCGCCGCGUGCCUCAAAUCGUCCGGCUGGGUCUUCUGUCCCCUAAGCGUUGUGGAAACUAUUCGCUAAAGGGUGUUCGGGAGGCUACGCCGUAAAACAACCCCAUCUCUAAGGUUGACCUCGGAUCAGGUAGGGAUACCCGCUGAACUUAAGCAUAUCAAUAAGCGGAGGA